rnacentral:lncRNA from 1 species
GAAGGUGAGUUCUUCAAUAGUGGCCAAUGCCACUAACACGAGUGGGUAUCAUGUGUCACUGAGAUAUUGAUGCAGAUAAGGGACGGUAAAAUGUUGCAAUAAUAAAAAUGGGGUUGCCCCCAUAAUAUCGGAAGUUCGGAACAAUAAGAUCUUGGGUCUUUGGCGAGAACAUUAAACUGUUCCAUGUACCUAUUCAGGACACAGGUAAAAAGAACAAGUUAAUCAGAGGAAGAUACCGACAAUCAUGACCUUGUGAAACUGGCUCCCGUCAAGUUGCUAUCAACAUGAUC